CAGAUAGACUUCAUGGCAAAGCAGGGCCAUGAGUAUACAAAAGAGUACAGGGAGUUUGCACUCGCGCUCCAUCUGCAUGGUCCGAAGGCAUACAAGUACCUCCGAGAAACUCCACACUUUCCUCUCCCACAUCCACGUACAUUACAAAGGUGGCUGUGUUCGGUGGAUGACAAGCCUGGCUUGAAUAAGAUGAUGCUGGAUAUGCUGGAGAGUAGAUGCCAAGAAGAUCAGGAUUAAUAUGGAUGUGUUGCACUCAUGUCGGAUGCCAUGGCUAUCAGGAAACAUGUGCAAUAUAUUCCAAACACCCACAGUCAAUGUCUGGAUUUGUGGACAUGAGUGAUGGAAGCAGUGAGACUGAUGUUGCUACUGAGGCUCUUGUGUUCAUGGUAGUUGGCCUACAAGGAUAUUGGAAGGCUCCCAUUGCAUACCACCUGACUAAGUCUCUGUCUCCAGACACACAAAGUUUCCUUCUCAGUCAUGCGUUGGAGGAGCUGCAUGCACGGGGCAUUCGGGUGGUAUGUGCAACUAUGAAUGGUCAUGCCUCCAAUGUCAGCAUGUGCAACCAAAACAAAGAUGGCCCAUCUCUCAAUUGUACAGAGUCCUUCAAAAAAUCCUGGAUCUAGACGGUGAUCCAGAUCACCUCCAAAAUCUAAUCGAUUGUUACUUUUGCUCUUCUGGACAUCCUGUAAAAAUUUGGUGAAAAUCCGUCCAUAACUUUUUGAGUUAUGCUGUUAACAGACAGACAGACAGAUAGACAGACAGACAGACAGACAGAUGGCCUGGCAGAGGUCUGCGCUCUCCGAGUGCUUUUCUAGUUACAUUAGUUACCAUUUUAUUGAUUAGAAAAAAAACUUGCUUUUUGAAUGAAAGUGCUAUUGUGUUUGCAUUUGACCCUCUCCUGACAUUUCCAUAUAACAGCAUCCUUGUUCAACUUUAAAGCUGUUCCAUGUGGUAUAUUCCCCUACAUACUCUGAGUCUCAUAUAGUGUCCAUGGAAUACUCAUGCUUGAUUGUGUUCUUAGUUCUUAGUCUAAUCAGGAACGUAUGAAUGAGAUAAAUGAAACUAAACUGACAGCACACUAGCUGUCUGUCGUUUUUUCACAGAAAAUACAUUUUAUUACAUACUAGAUAAGAGACUAGCUGGUGUAACUUUGGUCCCACAGGUUAGCCAACUUUUAAGUGCAUUUCAUCAGUUUUUUUUUUUACUUUACUAUUAUGCCUAUUCACUGAUUUGUUGUGUAAUGUUAGGAUUUAUUAUUUGUAUUAUUUCUAUUAAACAUAAUGCUGGCUCAA